AAACCGUUGAAAGGGAAGCGAAUGGAGUUAGCAAUUCGCCUGUCAGACUCAGUUGCAUGCGCUUCGCGACGUGCGCGCUCUCGAUCCCCAUGGACGGGUCGCGUACGGAUGCGAUGUGCGAGCGGCGCAUUUCUGGCAGACGAGCGUCAGCGUCGGUUGUUGUCUAACGAAAAGGUCGCAAGGAAGGUAGAUUGGCCCUCGGGCUGGUUGUUAAGCCUUGCGCUCACAUGGUUAGACGGCGACCGUGGCAUUGCGACGCGUGCCCUGCUGGCGACCCGUGCUCUCGGUCUGGCAUGUCGACUGUGGCGGACGGCACGCCUGUGCGCUCAAACUGCUGCCGGUCGCGAGUACGGUGUUCGCACACAACGCGUCCAGGAUGCUGACGAUCAUACGGCUCCAUCCGACCCGUCUUGAAACACGGACCAAGGAGUCUAACAUGUGCGCAAGUCUCCGGGUGAUCGAAACCCGUGGGCACAAUGAAAGUAAAGACCGUCCCAGACGGUUGAGGUGAGAAGCCCCAAAAGGGCUGCACCAUCGACCGACCUAUUCUGCUCUCAGAAAGGUUUGAGUAAGAGCGUAUCUGUUGGGACCCGAAAGAUGGUGAACUAUGCCUGAAUAGGGUGAAGCCAGCGGAAACACUGGUGGAAGCUCGUAGCGAUUCUGACGUGCAAAUCGAUCGUCGAAUUUGGGUAUAGCGGCGAAAGACUAAUCGAACCAUCUAGUAGCUGGUUCCCUCCGAAGUUUCCCUCAGGAUAGCUGGAGCUCUUUCGUGCAGU
rnacentral:rRNA from 1 species